rnacentral:rRNA from 1 species
UACGGGGGGGGGCAAGCGUUGUUCGGAAUUACUGGGCGUAAAGGGCGCGUAGGCGGUUCGCUAAGUUGAAUGUGAAAACUCUGGGCUUAACCCAGAGCCUGCAUUCAAUACUGGCGGGCUAGAGUUCUGGAGGGGAUAGCGGAAUUCCUGGUGUAGCGGUGAAAUGCGUAGAUAUCUGGAGGAACACCGGUGGCGAAGGCGGCAUCCUGGACCGGUAUUGACGCUGAGGAGCGAAAGCCAGGGGAGCAAACGGG